GAAAUGCGAUAAGUAAUGUGAAUUGCAGAAUUCAGUGAAUCAUCGAAUCUUUGAACGCACCUUGCGCUCCUUGGUAUUCCGAGGAGCAUGCCUGUUUGAGUGUCGUGUAAUUCUCAACCUAUAAAUCCUUGUGGUUUUUAGGCUUGGACUUGGAGGCUUUUGCUGGCUUUACCGUCGGCUCCUCUUAAAUGCAUUAGCUUGAUUCCUUGCGGAUCGGCUCUCAGUGUGAUAAUUAUCUGCGCUGUGACCGUGAAGCGUUUGGCGAGCUUCUAACCGUCUCUUUGAGACAAACACUUUGACAUCUGACCUCAAAUCAGGUAGGACUACCCGCUGAACUUAA
rnacentral:misc_RNA from 1 species